UGCACGUUUUUCUUUACGGUAGACCACAAUAAUAUUACAUGUAUAUGAACAGUAAAAUCUUACCAUUUUAAUGACAAUAUAAAAAAAAGAUGAUGUGGUAUGAUUGCCAAUGAGACAACUGUCUACAAUUAAGAGACCAAAAUGACACAGACAUUAACAACUAAAGGUUACUGUACGGCCUUCAACAAUGAGGAAAGCCCAUAUCGCAUAGUCAGCUAUAAAAGGCCCCGAUAAGACAAUGUGUAAAACAAUUCAAAUGAGAAAACUAACGGCCUUAAGUAUAUAAAAAAUGAACGAAAAACAAAUAUGUUACACAUAAACAAACGACUUCCACUGAAUUACAGGCUCCUGACUUGGGACAGGCACAUACAUAAAUAAUGUGGCGGGGUUAAACAUGUAAGCGGGAUCCAAACCCUCCCCUUAACCAGGGACAGUGGUAUAACAGUAAAUCAUAAGAACGAACUAUAAAAAUCAGUUGAAAAUGGCUUAACUCAUCCGAUGGACAAAAAUACAAGUGGACGUGGUAGGGUAAUUGUAUGUCUGCUCAACAGUUUAACCAUUUAUCUGUGUAUAUUUUUUUUUAUACAACCGCAAAAUUUGAAAAAAUUUGGUCCUAUAUUGAUAUGACGUUGUCGUUGUCAUCGUCGUCGUCAUCCAAAGACAUUUGGUUUUCGCACUAUAACUUUAGUAUAAGUAAAAAGAAAUCUAUGAAAUUUAAAUACAAGGUUUAUGACCAUAAAAGAAAGGUUGGGAUUGAUUUUGGGAGUUUUGGUCCCAACAGUUAUGAAAUUAGGGGCCAAAAAGGGUCCAAAAUUAAACUGUUUGCUUUCAUAAAAAAAUAAAUUAUUGGGGUUCUUUGAUAUGCCAAAUCUAACAGUGAAUUUAGAUUCUUAAUUUUUGGUCCUGUUUUCAAAUUGGUUUACAUCAAGGUCCAAAGGGUCCAAAAUUAAACUUAGUUUGAUUUUAACAAAAAUUUAAUUCUUGGGGUUCUUUGAUAUGCUGAAUCUAAAAAUGUACUAAGAUUUUUUAUUAUGGGCCCAGUUUUCAAGUUGGUCCAAAUCGGGGUCCAAAAUUAAAUUUUGUUUGAUUUCAACAAAAUUGAAUAUAUGGGGUUCUUCAAUAUGCUGAAUCUAACCAUGUAUUUAGUUUUUUUAAUAUUUGGGACCGGUUAUCAAAUUGGUCCAAAUUGAGGUCUUAAGGGUCUAAAAUUGAAAAUUAUUUGAUUUCAUCAAAAAAUUGAAUUCUUGGGGUUCUAUGAUAUGCUGAAUAUAACCAUGCAUUUAGAUUUUGGAUAUUGGACCAUAAUAGGUAAAUGUUAAAUAAAAAAAUUUAAAGUUUUUAAGUUUAAGUUCUUAGACCACACUCAUUGUGUUGUGUCAACUAUUUAAUCCCAAACCAAAUUCAGAGCUAUACCAAGCUUAAAUGUUCUGUCCAUACUUGCCCCAAAUGUUCAGGGUUCAAUCUCUGCGGUCGUAUAAAGCUGCGCCCUGCGGAGUAUCUGGUUAUUACAUGUGGUUAUGAAAUAAAUUUUAUUGCAAUUUGAAAUAUUUGUGUUUGUCUCAGCUGGUAGUAAUAGGCCAACUAUAUUUUACAUGUCUUAUUCCCAAGCCUCAAAUUGCUAGAGAUUACAUUCUAGGAGGAAACUUAACAUUACUGUUAUGUCCACUGUUCUCCCAAAAUUGACAUAGGGAUAACUAACUGGUUCAUGUCAGCGUCACAAAAUUUCAGUUGCAGUUUUAUCAGGAACUUCUAGGAGUAGUCUCUUUAUAUUUGGCAUAAAGCUGUAUCAUAAUAUAGAAAAUAUAGCACUUUUCUAGGUA
rnacentral:lncRNA from 1 species